rnacentral:rRNA from 1 species
UACGGAAGGCAGCAGGGGGAAUAUUGCACAAUGGGCGGAAGCCUGAUGCAGCGACGCCGCGUGGGGAUGACGGCCUUCGGGUUGUAAACUCCUUUCGACAGGGACGAAGCGCAAGUGGCGGUACCUGUAUAAGAAGCACCGGCUAACUACGUGCCAGCAGCCGCGGUAAUACGUAGGGUGCGAGCGUUGUCCGGAAUUACUGGGCGUAAAGAGCUCGUAGGUGGUUUGUCGCGUCGUCUGUGAAAUUCCGGGGCUUAACUCCGGGCGUGCAGGCGAUACGGGCAUAACUUGAGUGCUGUAGGGGAGACUGGAAUUCCUGGUGUAGCGGUGAAAUGCGCAGAUAUCAGGAGGAACACCGAUGGCGAAGGCAGGUCUCUGGGCAGUUACUGACGUUGAGGGAGCGAAAGCAGUGGGUAGCGAACAGGGAUUAGAUACCCGU